rnacentral:rRNA from 1 species
UACGGAGGGUGCAAACGUUGCUCGGAAUCAUUGGGCGUAAAGCGCACGUAGGCGGUUCGCUAUGUCGGAUGUGAAAGCCCUCGGCUUAACCGAGGAAGGGCAUCCGAAACUGGCGAGCUUGAGUACGGAAGAGGGUCUCGGAAUUCCCGGUGUAGUGGUGAAAUGCGUAGAUAUCGGGAGGAACACCAGUGGCGAAGGCGGCUACCUGGACGGGUACUGACGCUGAUGCGCGAAAGCUAGGGGAGCAAACAGG